UGACCUCGGAUCAGGUAGGGAUACCCGCUGAACUUAAGCAUAUCAAUAAGCGGAGGAAAAGAAACCAACAGGGAUUGCCCUAGUAACGGCGAGUGAAGCGGCAACAGCUCAAAUUUGAAAGCUAGCCUUCGGGUUCGCAUUGUAAUUUGUAGAGGAUGAUUUGGGGAAGCCGCCUGUCUAAGUUCCUUGGAACAGGACGUCAUAGAGGGUGAGAAUCCCGUAUGUGACAGGAAAUGGCACCCUAUGUAAAUCUCCUUCGACGAGUCGAGUUGUUUGGGAAUGCAGCUCUAAAUGGGAGGUAAAUUUCUUCUAAAGCUAAAUAUUGGCGAGAGACCGAUAGCGCACAAGUAGAGUGAUCGAAAGAUGAAAAGCACUUUGGAAAGAGAGUUAAAAAGCACGUGAAAUUGUUGAAAGGGAAGCGCUUGCAAUCAGACUUGUUUAAACUGUUCGGCCGGUCUUCUGACCGGUUUACUCAGUUUGGACAGGCCAGCAUCAGUUUCGGCGGCCGGAUAAAGGCUCUGGGAAUGUGGCCUCCACUUCGGUGGAGG
rnacentral:rRNA from 1 species